AUGAACGUCAGCGCCACCACCACUUCGCAUCUUUAUUUCGAUCUCAAACUGUCUCCUCUUAACACGUCGCAGUGUUAUGCGAUGAAGAAUCUCGAUGAAGAUGCAAUGAUAAUGAGAAAGGUUAGUACAUGGUCAAGAGCAGGCAUGCAACAACUCUGCCUGCUUAAGUUGGCAUUGAACUGGGCUGAAGUAUUUUGGACAGGUUCUAAGAAAGUUUACAAAUUUGGUAAUGAAGAAUGGGUGGGUUUUGAAGAUUGGAUUCAUGGCAUCAAAGAAAUUGGAGCAUGA